AGAACCCAAAUUAAAAGGAACAAGAAACCAAAGAAGGUAAGUGGAAUGAGGUGAACGCACGCUUCUUUGGUUCGUGUUUUUCCUUUUAAUUUGGUUUCUUUUUCAUUCCUUUUCCCUUUUGUCUUUCUUUCAUUUAAAUUAAACGUAAUGGAAUAGAAUGUAAACACGGUUUAAUUUAAAUGAAGAAAGAACAAAAUGA
rnacentral:ribozyme from 1 species